rnacentral:miRNA from 1 species
GAGCUUUUGAGGGCCCCAUGCA